UCUCACAGAGGUGUAAUAUUUGUGUCUCUUCUCUCCCCCUCCACAGCCUGGAUGUCUGUGGACCUGAUUGGCCGACCAGACACCCUACAAGCAGCGUUCAGGUCCAGGUGUCGGCGGCGUCCUGGUCCUGUCAGCCGGAUUCAUCCUGAGAGACACAUGCAGAAGGAGGAGAAGUUUUACAGCUUCAUUUGUUGGCGAGGACAAAUCGGCCGAGAUCUCCCCGGCGAGAUUAAUGGCACGGCAAAUCAUGGCUCAUGCUGCCGCGGCGACAGGCGUUCCCCGGGUGCCGUUCCCCGGGUGCCGUUCCCCGCGGCUGCGGCUCAUUUAAAAGCCGUAUAAUCUCGGCGGUGACGGUGACGGAGCGGGGGAAAUCGCAUCGCUGGACCAGGACGCCUGACAGCUGCAUUAAGCCCUGCCAGGGCCGCUUCACGCCCACAGGACCCCUCCCAAUCACCCCCACCCCUCAUCAUCACCCAGCAUGCCUCAGUAACAGAGAGGAGGCUCUUAUGGAGGCUGCUGAUCUCCGUGGAGAUAGAAGAGGAGAGGCUCCGUCCUGCUCCUCCAUCUCAUUCAACCUUCAUUUAACCAGAAAACCUCUCCUGACAUUAAACGUCUCUUUCUGCACAGGAGCCGUGACACCAUGACAGACAACAGGCUCCGAAAUAUUUACCACAGACACUUACAGGACCAAAAAAACUAUCUUCACUGCUGAGCAAUAUGGAAUUUAGAAAGUGAUAUUUAUAUAUAAAGAAAUAAGACAACUAUGUUGAUUAAUAUUGGUAUAUUUCCCCUUACUUACAGUUAGGCCGAACAGAUAAACCAGUUAUUUCUUAGUGAUUAGCAACUGUGUUUCUGUCACAUCUGAAGGGAAAAGACCAAGAGCUUCCCAGCGUGUGGAUCCUGGAAGGAAACCUGGCCCUCCGCCCGCCUGCCGCCGUCAGGAGCCUCGCGACUGUAAGAUGGCGACAGAUUUGUGAUUAAACAGCCACUUUGUCAUGCGAGAGGGACAUAAUGCAUCAACACAGGUCGGGUUGUAGCUGUGACGAUCGCUUGGUGUUUGCGUAUCUAGAAGCUGAGGGAUUAAGAUGGCGUCUGCCUCCGUGAGACCGACCUACACCCCGAGGAUAAGGACACUGUGUCGUACACCUGGAUCCUGCAGCACAGACUUUGAGCUCGACGCCGAGAUCCCCAGAGAGAUCUGUCCAUCAGCCCGAGAAAGUACGACUGCCGUGUGGAGAAAAUAUAAAUAAAAUUUUGUGAGAGAUUGAGAGGCUUUGGUCGGUUUGUGAGCCGCUGACGUCCAUGUGUGAGCGACGGAGGAGGCGGUGUGGAUCGACGGGAGCAGCAGAGGAUCCUCGGGGAGAACGCUGCCAAGCAAACCAGUUAAAUCGCGGUGCUUCACUGCCAUCAAGUGGCUGCAGAUAACUUGUCUCUACACAUGGAUGGAUUCCUGAAAGGGCCCACCGGGCAGAGGCCCAGUCGGGCCCCUGGGCCAGAGCCGCUGUCUGAGAGGACUGUUAACAUCUCUUACUGCUGAGAGGAGAGAGAGAGAUGCAUCCAUCCAUCUGUCUCUAUAAGCCCCGCCUCCUGCUGCUCGUUAGGCAGCUCCACUUCUGAUUGGCCGCUUCACCUCGCAACCUCGUUAACUCUCUCCGUCCGUUUGAAGGGUUAACAGCUGCAGCUGAUGGAGCUCACGGCUCAGCCUGGUGGAGUUUUACUGACAUCUACUGGUUCACUGACAGAACUACAGCUGAGCGGAGCAAACAGGAAACCUCAGGAAGUUUGAUGCUUCAGGUCAGAAAUGACAAAAUGUGUCUGAAAUAAAGUGUCUGUGUAAACUCCAACAUGUUCUUCAGAUCUC